AACGCACCCUGCACUCUCUGGUAUUCCGGAGAGUACGCCUGUUUGGGUGUCAUGAAACUCUCACUCCUCAUCUUUCUUUAUUGAGAGGUAGGGACGUGGAUUUGGAUCUGUUGCUGGUGAAUCUGAUUCAUCGGCUCGUCCGAAAUAUAUUAGCUGGUUCCUCUUUGUCAAUUGGUUCUACUCGACGUAAUAAGUAUUUCGUCGAGGACGGUCUUCGGAUCGGCCGAUAGAAAGAGUCUUUUUUUAGAUCCGCUUCUAAUCCGUGCGAUUUUAUUAUCCACACACUUUUUAUGAUCUGGCCUCAAAUCAGGUGGGACUACCCGCUGAACUUAA
rnacentral:misc_RNA from 1 species